rnacentral:ncRNA from 1 species
UAGGAUCUAGGAUCGUGUCUGAUUAAUUCCAAUAAUGAACGAGACUCUGGCAUGCUAACUAGUUACCCCUGAGUGAUUGGCGUCCUCCAACUUCUUUGAGGGACAAAGUGGCGUUCAGCCACUGGAAAUUGAGCAAUAACAGGUCUGUGA